GACGAACGCUGGCGGCGUGCUUAACACAUGCAAGUCGAACGGAAAGGCCCUGCUUUUGUGGGGUGCUCGAGUGGCGAACGGGUGAGUAACACGUGAGUAACCUGCCCUUGACUUUGGGAUAACUUCAGGAAACUGGGGCUAAUACCGGAUAGGAGCUCCUGCUGCAUGGUGGGGGUUGGAAAGUUUCGGCGGUCGGGGAUGGACUCGCGGCUUAUCAGCUUGUUGGUGGGGUAGUGGCUUACCAAGGCUUUGACGGGUAGCCGGCCUGAGAGGUUGACCGGCCACAUUGGGACUGAGAUACGGCCCAGACUCCUACGGGAGGCAGCAGUGGGGAAUAUUGCACAAUGGGCGGAAGCCUGAUGCAGCAACGCCGCGUGCGGGAUGACGGCCUUCGGGUUGUAAACCGCUUUCGCCUGUGACGAAGCGUGAGUGACGGUAAUGGGUAAAGAAGCACCGGCUAACUACGUG
rnacentral:rRNA from 1 species